rnacentral:rRNA from 1 species
GAUCAUGGCUCAGGAUUAACGCUGGCGGCGUGCCUAAUACAUGCAAGUCGAAUGGUAGCAAUACCAUGGCGAACGGGUGAGUAACACGUAGGUAACCUGUCUUUAAGCCGAGGAUAACCAUUGGAAACGAUGGAUAAUACUGGAUAGGACAUUUGAAGGCAUCUUUAGAUGUUUAAAGAUUUAUCACUUAGAGAGGGGCCUGCGGCGCAUUAGCUAGUUGGUGAGGUGAAGGCUUACCAAGGCGAUGAUGCGUAGCCGGACUGAGAGGUUGAACGGCCACAAUGGAACUGAGAACGGUCCAUACUCCUACGGGAGGCAGCAGUAGGGAAUUUUCGGCAAUGGGCGGAAGCCUGACCGAGCAACGCCGCGUGAACGAAGAAGUAUUUCGGUAUGUAAAGUUCUUUUAUUAGGGACGAAAAGACAGAUUGACGGUACCUAAUGAAUAAGCUCCGGCUAACUACGUGCCAGCCGCCGC